rnacentral:rRNA from 1 species
CAUAUCAAUAAGCGGAGGAAAAGAAACCAACAGGGAUUGCCUCAGUAACGGCGAGUGAAGCGGCAACAGCUCAAAUUUGAAAUCCGGCCUCUUCGGGGCCCGAGUUGUAAUUUGUAGAGGGUGUUUCGGGCGAGGCGCCGGCCUAAGUUCCUUGGAACAGGGCGUCAUAGAGGGUGAGAAUCCCGUCUGCGGCCGGCGACCGACCCCAUGUGAAACCCCUUCGACGAGUCGGGUUGUUUGGGAAUGCAGCUCUAAAUGGGUGGUAAAUUUCAUCUAAAGCUAAAUACCGGCCAGAGACCGAUAGCGCACAAGUAGAGUGAUCGAAAGAUGAAAAGCACUUUGGAAAGAGAGUUAAACAGUACGUGAAAUUGUUGAAAGGGAAGCGCUUGCAACCAGACCUGUCUCCGGGUGAUCAGCCGCCGUUCUCGGUGGUGUACUCGCCCGGCGCAGGCCAGCAUCGGUUCGGGCGGUCGGAUAAAGGCCUUGGGAAUGUGGCUCCCCUCGGGGAGUGUUAUAGCCCUCGGUGCAAUGCGGCCGCCUGGACCGAGGACCCGCGCUUCGGCUAGGAUGCUGGCGUAAUGGUUGUAAGCGGCCCGUCUUGAAACACGGACCAAGGAGUCGAUCAUCUAUGCGAGUGUUUGGGUGUCAAACCCAUGCGCGGAAUGAAAGUGAACGGAGGUGAGAACUCUUAAGAGCGCAUCAUCGACCGAUCCAGAUGUUUUCGGACGGAUUUGAGUAAGAGCAUGGCCGAUCGGACCCGAAAGAUGGUGAACUAUGCCUGAAUAGGGUGAAGCCAGAGGAAACUCUGGUGGAGGCUCGCAGCGGUUCUGACGUGCAAAUCGAUCGUCAAAUUUGGGUAUAGGGGCGAAAGACUAAUCGAACCAUCGGAUUUUUUUACGCUACUAGGUGGUUAAUUGAGACGGUAUAGGCUGUGAGAGGUCUUUCGAGCCUGUCAAGCUUACGCCGUCCCCAGUCCUUCGGGGCAACGCCAUCACCUGCAUGGAUUUCUGAGCUUGCUCAGAUCAACAUGCUGCAGAGGCUUCUUAAGAGCCCUGUACACAGGUCAGACGAUGGUGGUCCGCGUGACGUGAUACACGUCAGACGCGGUUCAGAUAUGAUCGAGUCCUUCUCGUAUCCGAGUUGACUUUGGAGAUCUCUUGAUAUCGGUGGCACUGCGUCUUCGAGAACCGUGGGAUGUGACUGAGACUUAUAGUAGACCUUCAAAGUCGUGAAUAACGCUAGUAGCUGGUUCCUGUCGAAGUUUCCCUCAGGAUAGCAGUAACGUUUUCAGUUUUAUGAGGUAAAGCGAAUGAUUAGAGGCCUUGGGGAUGCAACAUCCUUAACCUAUUCUCAAACUUUAAAUAUGUAAGAAGUCCUUGUUACUUAGUUGAACGUGGACAUUUGAAUGUAUCGUUACUAGUGGGCCAUUUUUGGUAAGCAGAACUGGCGAUGCGGGAUGAACCGAACGUGGGGUUAAGGUGCCGGAAUGCACGCUCAUCAGACACCACACACGGAACGAGGGAUUAUUUGUGGUGUCGAAAUCCAGAGCAGACAUGCUCUCGGAGCAGUCGCUGCGUCAAAGCAGUGGCAAGGUUCUCGAUCUCUUGGGAAUUAUCGGCAACCGCCGGUAUACCCUAAGCCAUUCAGGUGGCUCACAGAUCAAGCCGGAGCCGGGGGUUCAACCGGAACCCCUUGAGAUAUGAUCGGCUUUGGGGCGUCAGUCCCAAAUCUUCGCGCAAAAGGUGUUAGUUCAUCUAGACAGCAGGACGGUGGCCAUGGAAGUCGGAAACCGCUAAGGAGUGUGUAACAACUUACCUGCCGAAUGAACUAGCCCUGAAAAUGGAUGGCGCUCAAGCGUGCUACCUAUACCCCGC